AUUGAACGCUGGCGGCAUGCCUUACACAUGCAAGUCGAACGGUAACGCGGGGCAACCUGGCGACGAGUGGCGAACGGGUGAGUAAUGUAUCGGAACGUGCCCAGUUGUGGGGAUAACUGCUCGAAAGAGCAGCUAAUACCGCAUACGACCUGAGGGUGAAAGCGGGGGAUCGCAAGACCUCGCGCAAUUGGAGCGGCCGAUAUCAGAUUAGGUAGUUGGUGGGGUAAAGGCUCACCAAGCCGACGAUCUGUAGCUGGUCUGAGAGGACGACCAGCCACACUGGGACUGAGACACGGCCCAGACUCCUACGGGAGGCAGCGGUGGGGAAUUUUGGACAAUGGGCGCAAGCCUGAUCCAGCCAUGCCGCGUGCGGGAAGAAGGCCUUCGGGUUGUAAACCGCUUUUGUCAGGGAAGAAAAGGCUCCUGUUAAUACCGGGGGCUCAUGACGGUACCUGAAGAAUAAGCACCGGCUAACUACGUGCCAGCCGCCGCAGUAAAAC
rnacentral:rRNA from 1 species